ACAGCGAGUCUCUCUAUCUGCUGCUCUCUUUGUUCCCGCUUCUGCUCAACCCCGUUAGUUUGAAGUGUGCGACUCACACAUUGCUACUCCGACCGAGCAAAACACAACUAAGUGCAGAGAGAGAGAGAGAGAGAGAGAGAGAGAGAGAGAGAGAGUGAGUGAGUGAGAGAGAGAGCGCAGUCUCCACGUUGUGUCUGUCUGAGAGAGCAGACACGCUUCAAAUCGGCCCGCCAGACUCGGAGCUGCAGGAGGCUCGGUCGUCAUCGAGGCACUGAGGCUUUGAUGUACAUUUGAGGCCAAACAAAGGACCUGAGCGAAAAUAAACGCAUAUCCAGCUCUCGGUAUCAUCGUUGAAAGUCAAAGGCAGAGCCUAUAUAUAGCGUCUGUCAGGCUGCACCGCACACUGCCAGUGGUGCCCAACAUUUGGACCGCGAUUGUGUCAUGAUGUCCUUGCCCUUCACUCCAGCAAACAGCCAGCCUGCUGUGACUGUAGAGCCGCAUUGCCGCAUUGCGCAACGCAGAGACGGGGGCGAACAGAGUAACCCAGGACAUGCCUCGCUGAGGAGACCCGUGUGUUUCCGAGCUGCAAUUGCAUCAGGAGAUAUAUUUGCACACAGAAGCUAACCCAAUCCCCCAGAGCUGAAUCAAAGAACAUUUAAUUGUCCUCUAACAUCUCACAGUGUGUUUUAAUUUGAUUCAGUAUCAUUGGGAUCCCACAAAAACUACAUCCACAGCUCUAACAAAAUCAUUUGAUAGAUUAAAUAGAUUUCUCUCCAACAUGCAAACACUCCAUAAUAAAUGAUCAAUAAAUGAGACAAAGCCUGAAGCCUUUAUGAAUGGUGACUGUGAAGAUGAAACUUACAGGUAUACACUCCUUACACACCUUUCACAGAACAGUGUCAAAACUGUUUAGGAGCUUAGAUUCCUUCUUGAAUUAAUCUGCAUGCAUGCUGCACCCAGGCACAGCCAAAUAUCACGCAGCCAUGACACCAUACUGGUCAGUACAUCCGUGGCUGUAGACAACACAUCUCAUAACAUGACAGAGCAGCACAAUGACAGCCACACAUA